CUUAUCCCUCUCUUUGGAGUCUUUUGUGUUCUUUUCUCUGUACUAUCUGCCUUUUAAGUGUUGUUUUCUGUUGUCAGAAAUGUUCAAUAUUACUUGCAUCUGGACCUCAAUCUCUCCAUGUGUACUUGUUAGAACUAAAACUUAAAGUGGAAUCUAUUAACUGUAUUUAGCUUUAAGCUGUAGCUACUAAAGAGAUUGGUGAAUUUCCCACAUGUUAAGAUUGUUCCUGACUUUUCCCUUUGUUCUGUGAGUUGCAGGAGACAGCUACCUACCUGAGAAAGGCUGCUACUUAACAAGCUUUUCCCUAUGUCCCACUUUCUUCUUCUGAACUCUGAGCUGUCUCUGGUAUUCAGCAACAGUAGAGGUAGUUGUAAAAGUUCCUGGGCCUUUUGGAUUAGAAGAGUUUUUUCCAAGCUGAGUCUCAGCCUCUGAUUAUUUGUUUCCCAUAAUAAAAUUCUUCUGCAGCACUGGCUGCUCAGGACUACCUGAGCCUGACCACUUUAUUCUAAGCCAUUCAAAAGGACUCAAAUCAACUCUUCAGAUUUUCUGCUAGUGUCAUCUAUUUGCCAAGGAGAGCUGACAUGUCUACUGAGAUUUUGCACAUCCCUCCUUACCUCACUCUCUUUUGGCAUCCACUAAUCUUGGCUGCCUGAAGCUUGCAGGCAAGGUCCCUUAGGAGGUUGGUAAUAACUAUGUGCUGUUUUAUCUAUCCUCAUUGCCCAUUCUGUACUCCCGAUCUUUGUGUAACUGUUCCCCCUUUUUCCUUAUUACCCGGGUGGGACUCUCCUCCCCUUUUAUGCACUGAUGAUCCUACAACUCAAGCAGAGGUGAUCAGAGUCCUACUCAUGGUUCAUGUAUGGGCAUAUGGAGAGAAAGGCCCCUGUGUCUGGACCUCAGGCAAGAGCUCCCCUAAGCCGUCUUCUUUGCCUGUGGAGCAGCUUGUGUGUUCAAUGAAACCAGAAGGAACAGGCAAGGAUGCAUGAUGUAGAAAAAGAGAGAAUAAGUCCUGGUGUCAUGCUCUUCCAUUCUGCAGGCCCUGAGGCCCGGAUCCUUUCAGUCAUGUGUUUCCCCAGCCUCUUUCCCAGAUGUGUGAGUCAAUCUGUUUCUUUCCUCCCCUUAGACUGGCUUCAAUUGGAUGUCCAUCUCUUGCAACCUAAAGAGCCCUGACUAAUACAGUCAUCCCUUACUAAGCU
rnacentral:lncRNA from 1 species